GACAGAGGGUGCAAACGUUGUUCGGAAUUACUGGGCGUAAAGGGCUCGUAGGCGGCCAACUAAGUCAGACGUGAAAUCCCUCGGCUUAACCGGGGAACUGCGUCUGAUACUGGAUGGCUUGAGUUUGGGAGAGGGAUGCGGAAUUCCAGGUGUAGCGGUGAAAUGCGUAGAUAUCUGGAGGAACACCGGUGGCGAAGGCGGCAUCCUGGACCAACACUGACGCUGAGUGAGCGAAAGCUAGGGGAGCAAACGGGG
rnacentral:rRNA from 1 species